rnacentral:rRNA from 1 species
CUACGGGGUGCAGCAGUAAGGAAUAUUGCACAAUGGGGGAAACCCUGAUGCAGCAACGCCGCGUGGACGAAGAAGGCCUUCGGGUCGUAAAGUCCUUUUCUGAGGGAAGAGGAAGGACGGUACCUCAGGAAUAAGUCUCGGCUAACUACGUGCCAGCAGCCGCGGUAAAACGUAGGAGGCGAGCGUUAUCCGGAUUCACUGGGCGUAAAGGGCAAGUAGGCGGUUGUUUAAGUUAGGUGUGACAUCUCUCGGCUUAACUGGGAGGGAGCGCUUAAAACUAGGCAACUAGAGGGCGGAAGAAGGGGGUAGAACUCCAAAUGUAGCGGUGGAAUGCUCAGAUAUUUGGAAGAAUACCAGUGGCGAAGGCGACCCCCCGGUCCGUGCCUGACGCUGAGAGGCGAAAGCUAGGGUAGCGAACGGGAUUAGAUACCCGGGUAGUC